AAAAAAAAAGGAAAAAAAG
rnacentral:sRNA from 1 species